UGUGAUUCUGCCUUUAAUGAUUAGAGAUGGCUCCUCUGCUGUCCCACAGAAAACCACAGCAAAGACAAUCAUUGAAAGUAAAGUCUCAUUUAAACACCCAGGAGAAAGCUUGACUUCAGCUGAUGAACAGAGAACAGUUUGGACUUCAACUACAAACUAUCAGAGAGCGUUGACAGUUACCGUGUUUCCUCCUGAUGUCAUCACACUCAGUGUACCACAGGAGAUCUCAAGUCCAUUCCCCCUACUGGUCUCUCUGGUAAUACUGGGAGUUCUGCUGAUGCUGUUGUCUGUUGUCAUGGUUACAUGGAUUCUGAAGAAAAGACAAAGUAAGACUGAUUGCAUUCUUAACAUAGAAUGUCAUCAUCAUAUUCAAACUGGUUGGUAACAUACUGAUAGUGUAAUUUCUCCCUAACAUCUCAAUAGUAUGCUGUAGUUUACAUUAUUAAAGAAUAGCAUAGGAAUCAUCAAAGAAAAGUAUUAUUACUGGUAUA